UUGGAGGGCAAGUCUGGUGCCAGCAGCCGCGGUAAUUCCAGCUCCAAUAGCGUAUAUUAAAGUUGUUGCAGUUAAAAAGCUCGUAGUUGAAUUUCGGGAUCAAAUUGUUGGUCGUGCCUCAGUACGCACUGGCAUUAUUGGUUCUUACCUUCUGAAGAACCGCGAUGUCAUUAAUUUGGUGUCGUGGGGAAUCAGGACUGUUAUUUUGAAAAAAUUAGAGUGUUUAAAGCAGGCGCACGCUUGAAUACAUUAGCAUGGAAUAAUGAAAUAGGACGUUUGAUUCUAUUUUGUUGGUUUCUAGGAUCGACGUAAUGAUUAAUAGGGAUAGUUGGGGGCAUUAGUAUUCAAUUGUCAGAGGUGAAAUUCUUGGAUUUAUUGAAGACUAACUACUGCGAAAGCAUUUGCCAAGGAUGUUUUCAUUAAUCAAGAACGAAAGUUAGGGGAUCGAAGACGAUCAGAUACCGUCGUAGUCUUAACCAUAAACUAUGCCGACUAGGGAUCGGAUGAUGUUAAUUUUUUAAUGACUCAUUCGGCACCUUACGGGAAACCAAAG
rnacentral:rRNA from 1 species